CGGCGAAACGGGCCGCGCGGCCCGUCGUGUGCGGGUGGUGCCGCACGCCUGAUGAAGCCAGCCAGCG
rnacentral:hammerhead_ribozyme from 1 species